AACGUAGGAGACGAACGUUAUCCGGAGUUACUGGGCGUAAAGGGCGUGCAGGCGGCUGCUUAAGUCUGGCGUGAAAUUCAACGGCUUAACCGGGGAAUGGCGUCGGAUACUGGGCAGCUCGAGGGCGGUAGAGGCGUGUGGAAUUCCGGGUGUAGUGGUGAAAUGCGUAGAGAUCCGGAGGAACACCAGUGGCGAAGGCGACACGCUGGGCCGCACCUGACGCUAAGACGCGACAGCAUGGGGAGCGAACGGG
rnacentral:rRNA from 1 species